rfam:TPA: Bos taurus chromosome 8, whole genome shotgun sequence.
UCGCAGCGCGCGUCUAGCCAGAAGCCUGAGCCCCAGAGCAUCCCGGGAGCGCCGCGGGCCGGUGCUCGGCUCGUUGGGCCAUGCAGCGGCGGCCGCCGCGGAGCUGCGAGCGGCGGUAGCGCCCCCUGUGAGAAGGCCCGAGAUGCCCCUGCCACUGUGAACGGUGCCGCCCGACAGGACACGCUCAGCCCCUGACACGCUCGGCUCUGCGCGCCUGAGACCAGCACCGAGAGGAGACAGCGGUGAGCGCGGCAAAGGCCACUCGGCGCGGGCAGGGGAGACCGGCCGGGACAGCUCAGCGACACGCACUCAGGCUGACUCGGGCUGGCACUG